rnacentral:rRNA from 1 species
AUGUCGCGUGUCGCCUCGCGCGCAGAUCGGGUCUUGCAUCCCGGGGCCGCCGUGAGGGGUUGGCAGGCACGUAUACACCCAAUUUCUGCAUCGCGCAUGUACGGUACCGAUGACGGGUGGGCCGGUGCUACGCUGGUCCCGCGCGUAGCUGCAUGUCUCAUGGUGUGGGUUAAUUUUCUCCGGUCAACCGCUUUUGGAGGGUCGUGCGUUGUGGACACUACUAUAGCUGGCCAAACGGGCCGUGCUAACUGGGCCGGCCCGAUUUUCAGAGGUAUUGCGAAGAAAAAGAAAAAAAUCGCGCCAGACGGCCCAGCGUCCUCCAACGGGCCGGCGUGCCUGGGCGUGCCGCGUGCCGGCCCAUGUAGACUAUGUGCCGUGCCUGGGCUGCUAGCUCCCGCCCGUGGGCCGGCACGGCACGGUUCGGUUAUUAUUCGUGCCGAGACGGGCCGUGCCGUGCCAGGCACGUUUACGGCGGGCCGGGCCGUGCCGGGCCGGGCCGGCCCGUUUGGCCAGAUUGUUGUGAAGCUGCUUCUGCGCCGUGCUCUGCCUGACUCCUGCGCCCUGCCCCAUGCCGCGUCUCGUCUACAGCAGCAGGAGCGGCAACCCUCUCUCCUCCUCGCUCCUCCCUUCCUCGUCGACACAGCCGCCGCGCCACCUCGCUCCUCCGGUCCUCCCUUCCCCCCCGCAGCCCCAGGAGCUCUGUCGCCUCUUUCGACGAGAUCCACCGCCUCCCGAGGUCCUUAUCCACCCCAGUUCACGAGGAAGCCGCGGGAGGAGGAGAGCCCUCGUCACGAGGAAGCCGCGGGAGGAGGAGCUAAACCGGGCGUCGUCGGCCGAAGGAGGAGAGGUGCGGAUGCCAGCCAUGGAGGCGGAUCGGCUCGCCUCCGCCGCGUCGUGAGCGCCGCCGCUGCCUCUGCAUCCACCUUGCUCCGCAUAGCAGCAUGUGAUGGCGUGCCCGACGGCUCGGAACGCGCCCGCUCGGCGCACAGGAGGUAUGCCUCGGAGCACGCCGGCGACAACGCGCACCGCAAGGCCCCGGAGCAGCCCAGCCAGUAUAGAGCCCCUCCGUACAGGAGGGACCCUGGCGCCAACACAGCCAGCAACGGCGAUGCGUAUGAGAGCUCCGCGCUGGAGGGCAGCAACGAGCACAUCGCGCAGCACAAGGAGGUGAGCUGUGCGCAGGAUCUGCACCGACGCAAGUUUUAG